GACGAACGCUGGCGGCGUGCUUAACACAUGCAAGUCGAGCGGAAAGGCCCUGCUUUUGUGGGGUGCUCGAGUGGCGAACGGGUGAGUAACACGGGAGUAACCUGCCCUUGACUUUGGGAUAACUUCAGGAAACUGGGGCUAAUACCGGCUAGGAGCUCCUGCUGCAUGGUGGGGGUUGGAAAGUUUCGGCGGUUGGGGAUGGACUCGCGGCUUAUCAGCUUGUUGGUGGGGUAGUGGCUUACCAAGGCUUUGACGGGUAGCCGGCCUGAGAGGGUGACCGGCCACAUUGGGACUGAGAUACGGCCCAGACUCCUACGGGAGGCAGCAGUGGGGAAUAUUGCACAAUGGGCGGAAGCCUGAUGCAGCAACGCCGCGUGCGGGAUGACGGCCUUCGGGUUGUAAACCGCUUUCGCCUGUGACGAAGCGUGAGUGACGGUAAUGGGUAAAGAAGCACCGGCUAACUACGUG
rnacentral:rRNA from 1 species